rnacentral:tRNA from 1 species
AUAUAUAAAGCAAUAUUGCAGUUAAUUUCGACUUAAAAGAAAGAUUAUAUCUAUAAUCUAUAUAUA